rnacentral:rRNA from 1 species
UACGUAAGGGGCAAGCGUUGUCCGGAAUCAUUGGGCGUAAAGCGCGUGUAGGCGGCUCGGUAAGUCUGCUGUGAAAGUCCAGGGCUCAACCCUGGGAUGCCGGUGGAUACUGUCGAGCUCGAGUCCGGAAGAGGCGAGUGGAAUUCCUGGUGUAGCGGUGAAAUGCGCAGAUAUCAGGAGGAACACCAAUGGCGAAGGCAGCUCGCUGGGACGUGACUGACGCUGAGACGCGAAAGCGUGGGGAGCAAACAGG